GCUACAGGCUUAACACAUGCAAGUCGAGGGGCAGCCCGGGAAUAGCUUGCUAUUCUGGGUGGCGACCGGCGCACGGGUGAGUAACGCGUAUCCAACCUGCCCAUUACUCAGGGAUAGCCUUGCGAAAGUAAGAUUAAUACCUGAUGUUGUUAUUUUGCUGCAUGGUGAAUUAACUAAAGAUUUAUUGGUAAUGGAUGGGGAUGCGUAACAUUAGGUAGUUGGUGAGGUAACGGCUCACCAAGCCUACGAUGUUUAGGGGUUCUGAGAGGAAGGUCCCCCACACUGGAACUGAGACACGGCCCAGACUCCUACGGGAGGCAGCAGUGGGGAAUUUUGGACAAUGGGCGCAAGCCUGAUCCAGCCAUGCCGCGUGCGGGAAGAAGGCCUUCGGGUUGUAAACCGCUUUUGUCAGGGAAGAAACGCUCUGGGUUAAUACCCUGGGGUAAUGACGGUACCUGAAGAAUAAGCACCGGCUAACUACGUGCCAGCAGCCGCAGUAAAAC
rnacentral:rRNA from 1 species